rnacentral:rRNA from 1 species
CCUACGGGAGGCAGCAGUGGGGAAUAUUGCGCGAUGGGCGAAAGCCUGACGCAGCCAUGCCGCGUGUGUGAAGAAGGCCUUAGGGUUGUAAAGCACUUUCAAUUGGGAAGAAAAGCUCAUCGUUAAUAGCGGUGAGCCCUGACAUUACCUUUAGAAGAAGCACCGGCUAACUCCGUGCCAGCAGCCGCGGUAAU